AGUGAACGCUGGCGGUAGGCCUAACACAUGCAAGUCGAACGGCAGCACAGUAAGAGCUUGCUCUUACGGGUGGCGAGUGGCGGACGGGUGAGGAAUACAUCGGAAUCUACUUUUUCGUGGGGGAUAACGUAGGGAAACUUACGCUAAUACCGCAUACGACCUACGGGUGAAAGCAGGGGAUCUUCGGACCUUGCGCGAUUGAAUGAGCCGAUGUCGGAUUAGCUAGUCGGCGGGGUAAAGGCCCACCAAGGCGACGAUCCGUAGCUGGUCUGAGAGGAUGAUCAGCCACACUGGAACUGAGACACGGUCCAGACUCCUACGGGAGGCAGCAGUGGGGAAUACUGGACAAUGGGCGCAAGCCUGAUCCAGCCAUACCGCGUGGGUGAAGAAGGCCUUCGGGUUGUAAAGCCCUUUUGUUGGGAAAGAAAAGCAGCAGGUUAAUACCCCGCUGUUCUGACGGUACCCAAAGAAUAAGCACCGGCUAACUUCGUG
rnacentral:rRNA from 1 species